rnacentral:rRNA from 1 species
AUGGCGUUCGGCGACAGCGGUGGCAGUGACAAUAGUGGCGGCUCGUGGUCGACGAGCCUUAGCACGCCGGAGACUGACGAGCUCAUCCGGCUCGGGCUGAUGGUGUCACGGGGCUGCCGUCUGCCGAACGCCUUCCGCAUGACCGCCGACGGGUACCCGACGAGGGGGCCCGGCGCGUCGCCGGAUGAGCUCCGCCGGCACAAGGGUGGCCGCUGGAACAUCGUCGGCCGCACUAAGUUCUGGAAGUGGAAGGACUACUGGAGAGUCAUCGCGCAGGCUCGUCGGGAGUCGCGGGCGGGCGGCUCGUCGUCUGCCUCGGGCGGCUCGUCGUCUGCCCCACGCAGGCCCCGCCAUCCCCCUCCGGCGGCCACGCCGUCUCCAAGCUCUUCCCGCUGUCCGGUACCCACCCUCGCCGGGCCCGCCUCCCCUCCCGCCGUUGAGAUACCGCCGGAGCAGUUUGCGAUGCGCGAGGACGGCGACCCCGACGACUGCCCCGGCUACCUCAUUGCACUACGGGCGUCGCAGGAAGAAGCGGCGGCCGCGGCGGCGGCUGCGGAGGCCAGAGAGGCCGUCGAGCUGCAGGCCGUACUCGACGCCGCGGCGGCUAUGGUGGUGGCAGCAGAGGCUGCCGAGCUGCAGGCCGCACUAGAUGCGGCGGCGGGCAUCGGUGCGCUGCAGGCGCAUGUGGCUCCAGUGGAGGACGACGCCGGCGACUGGGACGACGGCGGCAAGAGCAGCGACAACGACGACGGCGACGAGAGUGACGGCGAGACUGAUAUGGUCUUGCAGCCCGACCGUGUCAGGGAAUGGCCACGUCGCAACCUAGCACUUCUGCAAUAUCUAUAUUGGGAGAAGGUGGAGCCAAGCACCGGUCCGCAAUAUGAUCCGUUAGCGUUGUUGAGCCCCUUGAUGAGGAACUGGAAAGAAGAGGCAGCGGAGAAAAGAGACAAGUACGCCUUUGAAUAUAGUCGUGGUGUUGGGAUGAGGGUCAUAGAGAAAUUGAACAAAAGCGCCAUCUUCUACAAAGCCGGUGAUAUUGAGAAAGAAGAAGAGAAUGAGUAUGGUGAUAAUAGUGAAACUAGAAACUAUGGUGGAGAACCUCGUAAAGAAUGGGUAUAUCAUCCUGAUGUGGACAAUUUCAAAACACCAGCAAAAAAGAAUGUGCAAGAGGAUGAUGAAGAUGAUCUUAAUGAUUCUGAAGAGAAGAGACCUUAUUAUUGCACACCUGAAUAUUGGGAUAGUUUCAAGGGUGAUAAAGAAGAUCCUAUCGAAGUUCCUGAGGUAUGUAAUGAGAAAUCCAUUACAUCUUUAGGAACAGAUGAAAUCGCAUCACGUGGAUCCGUAGGUUCUAUUAGAGAAGAUGAGGUACCGGAGGAGGUUGUAGGGAAACGGAAGUGCAAGGUAUCAAACCUUAUGAAGUCUCCUUAUGUGCAAGCUAUACCGACUAAGCGUGCAAAACGUUCUGCAAAAGCAAAACUAUUCGAGAAAGAAGUCUUUCAAGAUGAAUACGAUGUGAUUAAAGCUAGUGUUAAGUUUGUCCGUGCUUAUGAGCAGUCAACAAAACAUAGAAAGAAGGAAAUAUUCAAUGAUGGCAUGCACGAAGGUCUCAGUACAGAGAGGGCUUGUAAGAUUUUUGACCAUCAAUGGCUAACCGGUGAUAGGAAACAACUUGGAUAUGACAUACGUGAUGCGAAUGCGAGCGGUGCUGUGAAUUAUCCGGAUGUGUCUACCUGGCCUAUCAAAACAUAUAAGAUGUCACAACAAGAAGACGGGUGA